UACGAAGGGGGCUAGCGUUGCUCGGAAUCACUGGGCGUAAAGCGCACGUAGGCGGAUUGUUAAGUCAGGGGUGAAAUCCUGGAGCUCAACUCCAGAACUGCCUUUGAUACUGGCGAUCUCGAGUCCGGGAGAGGUGAGUGGAACUGCGAGUGUAGAGGUGAAAUUCGUAGAUAUUCGCAGGAACACCAGUGGCGAAGGCGGCUCACUGGCCCGGUACUGACGCUGAGGUGCGAAAGCGUGGGGAGCAAACAGG
rnacentral:rRNA from 1 species